AUUCAAAUAGCUUAUAAUAUAGAGUAUAACAUUGAAGAUGUUGUGGAGGUUUAAAAAUCUUUGAAUA
rnacentral:tRNA from 1 species